rnacentral:rRNA from 1 species
GGUACUAUAUAGGGGGAGUAAUGUCAGAGGCUGGUCUUGCUCCGCUUUUUUUUUUUAAAGGAGGGGCAAAAUGUGAGAUCUGAAACUGGGGACCAGACGACCAGGUAUUUAGUGAUGUGUCAAAAAUAAACAAAGAGAAAUAAAUCGAGCGAUGUAUGGGACAUUGGAUGGAGAUCCGGUCGACGUAAUUGGUAACUGGAACAUAGCAAUCUGGUCACCUGUACAGUAGAAGCUCACGGACACGUAGUGGAUUCCAAGCAGAGAACCUCCUCCAAGUAUCCAAGCACAGUCUCCCUCACGCAGCUGUGCAAACACUUCACCGCGACCCCUAUUUAAGCUUGCUCUCAUGGCGUGGACAAUUCGUAGCACCCAGGAACCAAGCUAGAUAAGAAUCCUCUGCCCUGCCUUGGAGGCUCGACUCGACCAUGCCGUCGCCGAUCCUGCCGGCCAAGGAGGUGGAGGAGGUGGUCACCGCCAACGAAGAGGUGACAGACAUCAUCGUCCAGAGGGUGCCCUACUGGGACCCUCCGACGGUCCGGGCGCUGGACACGAGCGAGCUGACCACCUGGUCCCUCUACCGCGCCCUCAUCGGCGAGUUCACCGCCUCCCUCAUCCUCCUCUACGUCAGCAUCGCCACCGUCAUCGGGUACCGGAACCAGUCCUCCGCCGCCGACGAGCGGUGCACCGGCGUCGGCUACCUCGGCGUCGCCUGGUCCUUCGGCGCCACCGUCUCCGUCCUCGUCUACUCCACCAGCGGCGUCUCAGGUGGGCACAUAAACCCGGCGGUGACGUUCGCGCUGUUCAUCGCCGGGAAGGUGACGCUGGUGCGCUCGGUGCUGUACGUGGCGGCGCAGUGCCUCGGCGCCGUCGUCGGCGUGGGCAUCGUGAAGGGGAUCAUGAAGCACCCCUACGACGACUUCGGCGGCGGCGCCAACGCGGUGGCCGGGGGCUACUCGCUCGGCGCGGCCCUCGGCGCGGAGAUCUUCGGCACCUUCGUCCUCGCCUACACCGUCUUCUCCGCCACCGACCCCAAGCGCACCGCCCGCGACGCCUUCGUCCCCCUGGUGGCGGCGCUGCCGAUCGGGCUGGCGGUGUUCGUGGUGCACCUGGCGACCAUCCCGAUCACCGGCACGGGCAUCAACCCGGCGAGGAGCCUGGGCGCCGCCGUGCUGUACAACCAGCACAAGACCUGGAAGCAGCACUGGAUCUUCUGGGUCGGGCCCUUCACCGGCGCGGCCCUGGCGGCGUUCUACCACAAGAUCGUGCUGCGCGACGAGGCGGUGGUGAAGGAGUCGCUAGAAAAGCUGGGCUCGCUCAAGAGGAGCGGCUCGACCGCUUGAAGGUCGGGGAGAGGAGACCAUGCGCCACGCAUGCAUGCAUAUACAGUAUUUUUCAUCGGUGUAAAGAGGAUCGAAAAGUUGUUGGAUAAUUAUAAGCGUGUCUUGAUGUGCGCCGUUCGUCAUGAUGCUUAUCAAUUGGUCCAUUUGGAACGAGCGAAAUGCCCAGAUUUUCCGGAAGAAAUCAAUGCCACCUCCAAUCAUCGUUGAAAACAUCAAGAGUGAUGCUGAUCUUUGGAAAAUCACGGGAGCUAAACAUUUGAGUGAUAUCUUACCGGGGGACUAGUCCCCUUUCAUAAUAAAUUUGGUUCUUUUUUCGCUUCAAAACAUUGUCUUGCUAUCCUUAAUUAAUAGACGAGCCAAAAAACUUGUCUUCAU